rnacentral:rRNA from 1 species
CUGCCCUUAGUUGCCACUCUUCGGAGGGCACUCUAAGGGGACCGCCGGCGAUAAGCCGAGGAAGGUGGGGAUGACGUCAGUCAGUAUGCCCUUUAUGCCCGGGGCUACACAGGCGCUACAGUGGCCAGGACAAUGGGAAGCGACCCAGUAAUGGGGAGCAAAUCCCUAAACCUGGUCAUGGUGCAGAUUGAGGGCUGAAACUCGCCCUCAUGAAGCCGGAAUCGGUAGUAAUGGCGGAUCAGCUAAGCCGCCGUGAAUACGUUCUCGGGCCUU